rnacentral:rRNA from 1 species
AGCAGCCGCGGUAAUUCCAGCUCCAAUAGCGUAUAUUAAAGUUGUUGCAGUUAAAAAGCUCGUAGUUGAAUUUCGGGAUUGGCGCAUCGGUCGUGCCUCACGGGGUAUGAACUGGUGCAGUCAAUUUCUCACCUUCUGGAGAACCGCGAUGUCCUUAAUUGGAUGCCGCGGGGAACCAGGACCUUUACUUUGAAAAAUUAGAGUGUUUAAAGCAGGCAUUUUUGCUUGAAUACAUUAGCAUGGAAUAAUAAAAUAGGACGGCAUGGUUCUAUUUUGUUGGUUUCUAGGACCACCGUAAUGAUUAAUAGGGAUAGUUGGGGGCAUUAGUAUUCAAUUGUCAGAGGUGAAAUUCUUGGAUUUAUUGAAGACUAACUACUGCGAAAGCAUUUGCCAAGGAUGUUUUCAUUAAUCAAGAACGAAAGUUAGGGGAUCGAAGACGAUCAGAUACCGUCGUAGUCUUAACCAUAAACUAUGCCGACUAGGAAUCAGACGAUGUUAAUUUUUAAUGACUCGUUU